rnacentral:rRNA from 1 species
GACGAACGCUGGCGGCGUGCCUAAUACAUGCAAGUCGAGCGGACAAACAGGACCUUUCUCCUCGAUUUUUUCGGCGCUCGUGUGUGUAACACGUGUGCAUCCCCCCUCUAUCACUGUGAUAACUUCUGGAAACCGCAUCUAAUACCCUAUAAUCCUUUUUAACUCAUGUUCUUCAUCUGAAAGAUUGUUUCUUCUUUUACUUUCUGCUUGGCUCGCGGCGGAUUAGCUAGUUGGUUAGGUAACGGCUCUCCAAGGCAACGAUGCGUAGCCGACCUGAGAGGGUGAUCGGCCACACUGGAACGGAGACACGGACCAGAGGCCUACGGGAGGCAGCAGUAGGGAAUGUUCGGCAAUGGACGAAAGUCUGACGGAGCAACGCCGCGUGAGUGAUGAAGGUGUUCGGAUCGUAAAACUCUGUUGUUAGGGAAGAACAAGUGGGGGAGUAACUGAAGAUAGCUUGACGGUACCUAAACAGAAAGCCACGGCUAACUACGUG